rnacentral:misc_RNA from 1 species
GAAAUGCGAUACGUAAUGCGAAUUGCAGAAUCCGUGAAUCAUCAAAAUUUUGAACGCACAUUGCACUUCCUGGUUUCCGGGAAGUAUUGCUGUUUGAGUGUCUGUUCUCCUCUCUCACUGAAUAUCAGUGGUCUUUAGGUUGUCAUACGUGUCGAUUUUGACAUGUUAGCCUCAAGAAAAUAAAAAUUAUACUUUUUUCUUAUGGAUAAAGAUACUUUCUUCAUUGGAGCUAGGUACAAUUUUGUAUUACCAUAUACCAAUCAGACCUCAAAUCAGGAAAGAAGACCCCCUGAAUUUAA